GAAUUUAUAUCUAGAGUGUACCGCUUACUAGCUCUGUGAUCUUAGGCAAGUUAUUUAAUCUCAUCAGAAUCCUUUACCUGUACAAUCAGAAAAUUUUUUUUAUCCUUAGGUUCAAGCCCAUGCACAAAAGCAGAAAGUACUCUGGAAGGAGGCAAGAUCUUUAACCAGAGAAGUCAUUGAAUAUCUAGCUCAAGAAUAACCCUUGGGAGCCCACCCCUCUAUAGCAAAGUGGUGAAGGGAUUUUGAAUUUUCUCUAAGGUAUCAAGAAUUGAGAGAGAGGGACUUCCCUGGUGGCGCAGUUGUUAAGAAUCCGCCUGCCAAUGCAGGGGACACAGGUUCGAUCCCUGGUCCGGGAAGAUCCCACAUGCUGUGGAGCAUCUAAGCCCGUGCGCCACACCUACUGAAGCCCACACGCCUAGAGCCGGUGCUCUGCAACAGGAAAAGCCACUGCAACGAGAAGCCCAUGCACUGCAAUGAAGACCCAACGCAAACAAAACCAAAACAAAAAAAAAAUAAAUAAAAAAGAAAAAUUGAGAGAGGAAAAAGAAUUGAGAGAGAGCUAGAUUGUUUUAAGAUAUGCAUGUCCUGCACUGUGAAGGAUGGGGAAUAUCUGCCUCAGCACAAGAGAAACUCCAAAAGAUCCAGGAACUGGGUUUAACUGUCAAAGCACAGUUACUGCUUUCACCGCCUUUAGUCCCGAACCGCUCGAACUGAACACGCAGCGUAACCGACCGCAGGGUAACUCGGAGACGCUGCGCACGUGGGCGGAGGCGGGUCGCGGGCGCGCGCUCGGGGGCGUGACCUCCGGGAGACGCCGGAAGCCGUUGCGCCGGAGCGUCCGGUUCCGGGAGCCGAACUUCUGCGUCCCUGUCAGGUGAGUGUAUGGGGGCGUCCCUCCGCCUCGAUAUCGGAUUCGUCCUUGUGAAGCCCCGGACGCGUUGAGCCGCGUGGGGCAGCCAACACCGGCCCUGGUUCCGGCUGGAGGACACCCUGUGCCCGGGGAGGUUCGGGGCUGCGCGGCUGGGAGCAGACGUCUGUCUGGGAGGCUCCGGAAAGGCCGGCCCCAAGGCCCCCAAGACAGGACCCUGUCCCGGGACUGAGGACCCCCUUCUUGGGAACCGUAAUUCCGAAGCUCUGACUAAACCAAGGCCGCCAGCACUGUGUGAAGCGAAGUGGGAUUUCGCUCUCAGUUUUGCCAGAUUAACACGAAAACAUCAAUAAUUUUCUGGCUGUGACUAGUAACUUUUCCUCUCCCACAGGUUGGGUCAUAUGUAUUCAAGUAUGGAAAAACGGUGCCAAGUGAUAACUUGAAAAUUUGCUUUAGGUUAGGGGCCACAUACAUGUAUUUAAUGCCGGAUUUGGAGGAACCUUCCUCCGUUAAGUGCAAGUCUUCAUUCCACACACACCCCCCAGCAAUUAUAUAUUUUUACUUAUCAGCCUUCAUUCCACACACACACACCAGCAAUUAUAUAUUUUUACUUAUCUCCGUAACAUACUCUACACUUUUCAUAUUUGUUGUAUUUAUUGAUUGCUCCUACUAGAAUGAACACUCCAUGAUGGCAGGGAUCUUUGUACGCUAAUGCGUCUCAAACACCUAGAACAGUUUCUGUACAAGGUAGGCCUCUAAAAAAUAUUUGUGGAUUCAGUGAAUUAAUAAAAUUAGUUACCCGGGUUACAGGUCUUCUUUCUUGUGUGCGUUCUUCGAAGUAUACGCCGUGUAUCCCUUUAUC
rnacentral:lncRNA from 1 species